rnacentral:rRNA from 1 species
AGUGAACGCUGGCGGUAGGCCUAACACAUGCGAGUCGAACGGCAGCACAGUAAGAGCUUGCUCUUACGGGUGGCGAGUGGCGGACGGGUGAGGAAUACAUCGGAAUCUACUUUUUCGUGGGGGAUAACGUAGGGAAACUUACGCUAAUACCGCAUAAGACCUACGGGUGAAAGCAGGGGAUCUUCGGACCUUGCGCGAUUGAAUGAGCCGAUGUCGGAUUAGCUAGUUGGCGGGGUAAAGGCCCACCAAGGCGACGAUCCGUAGCUGGUCUGAGAGGAUGGUCAGCCACACUGGAACUGAGACACGGUCCAGACUCCUACGGGAGGCAGCAGUGGGGAAUAUUGGACAAUGGGCGCAAGCCUGAUCCAGCCAUACCGCGUGGGUGAAGAAGGCCUUCGGGUUGUAAAGCCCUUUUGUUGGGAAAGAAAAGCAGCAGGUUAAUACCCCGCUGUUCUGACGGUACCCAAAGAAUAAGCACCGGCUAACUUCGUG